CACACGGUGUCCUCUACAACUUACUCUAAAAGCAGCACAAUGACAGUAACCUGCACAGCAUCCCUGCCUCCGUAUUAUGAUCCCCUGCAUAUGCCUUUGAUUCCAACAGAAUGUUCUCUGUUUCCAUCUUUGCAAUGAAGAUGUCAAUCCCAGAUAUGCAUGUGCUUGUGAGCCUGAAUAACUUGGUCUUUAGAUGGCCCUGCAGUCACAACCGCUACAAGGUCUUUGAUGAUAUGAGUACCACGAACCCAAUCCCGAAGGCUCCAACUGGUCAGUAAUCUCUAACAUUAUGGCUGUUUGAGUGUGGCACAAAUUUGGAAUUGCACGCAUAGAGAGGACUGAAUCAAAAUUUAAUCAACGUUUUUUAUUCCGUUCUCCAACUUCUGCUCAUUGUUUCAUAUCUGUGAGCAUGCUGAAGCCUGGAGUGAUUGAGGGGGCAUGCUGUCAUCGCUACUCAGUCUGCUCUUCACGCUGAGCACUUUAUGUUUCUCUGCCUGGAAAAUUUCAAAUAAAAUGUCAGUCUGUGCAUCUCAUUAAUCUGCUAACAACUGAGCUAAAGGUCUAAGUGCUUUAAAGAUAUAACACAGAUUUUAAGUUCAAGGAUACAGCUGAGGUUAGAAUCCUAUCCAUCCAUCCAUCUAUCCAUCCAUCCUUUCUGCCAGCAAACUUGUUAUAAUUCAGCCUGAAUCCAAAUAAGCCCAAUGGAAAAAGGCAGUGAGGUUAUAUUGGUUAGUUCCCAAGCAGAAAAUCAAUACUUUUGAAAGACAAAAGAGUUACAAAGCCUUUUUCCUUGAAGACAUCUGUCUGUGCAUCACAAGAAACCACCACCACAUCUGAUGUUCACUUGGCACUAUUGCUGACAUCGUGGCUGAGCCUUCCACCUGUGUAAGCCUGAGAGAUGGAACUCCAUCUUCCCUGCAAGUAGAGGGACACUGGGUCAAAGGAGCAAGAAUUUGCUGUGGCUUGGUGAAGCCCUACUUGGUCUGUGCUUCAAAUGGGCACUCGGUCUCCUGGGAAGCUGUAUUAGCUUUGGAUGGACGCCCGCUCCACGCGUCAUGUGCCAUUUCAGUUCCUUAAGCUCUCAAAAGACCCAUGUAUUUUCUUUUUCUUAAUCCCAUGUUUAUUGAUUCAUGUGUAUGUGUUUGUGUACGCUCCAUAUUAUUAUUUACUGCUAACUUUGCAUCCUUUGCUAUUUCCUUCUCCCUCUUUUGUUACAUUAUAUGCCAUAUUUUCAUGCCAUAUGCCAUUUAAGCUGCACCUUUAUGUGUACAAAAUGUGUACCUAAUUUGCAUGCACAGUUACUACCAUUGUAGACACAGGCACAGAGUGAGUAGGCAUAUUUGCAUGCAAUUAUCUGAUUUGCUUGCCCAAUUGAGGUGAUUUGCAUAUGCAGAUUUUGUG
ensembl:lncRNA